GCUACGGGUGGCAGCAGUGGGGAAUAUUGCACAAUGGGGGAAACCCUGAUGCAGCGACGCCGCGUGAGUGAAGAAGUAAUUCGUUAUGUAAAGCUCUAUCAGCAGGGAAGAAAAUGACGGUACCUGAGUAAGAAGCCACGGCUAACUACGUGCCCGCAGCCGCCGUAAUAAGUAGGGGGAAAGCGUGAGCCGGAUUUAAGGGGUGUAAAGGGAGCGUAGACGGCAGUGCAAGUCUGGAGUUAAAGGCGGGGGCUCAACCCCCGGACUUCUCUGGAAACUGUACGGCUGGAGUGCAGGAGAGGUAAGUGGAAUUCCUAGUGUAGCGGUGAAAUGCGUAGAUAUUAGGAGGAACCCCAGUGGCGAAGGCGGCUUACUGGACUGUAACUGACGUUGAGGCUCGAAAGCGUGGGGAGCAAACAGGAUUAGAUACCCUUGUAGUC
rnacentral:rRNA from 1 species